CCUACGGGUGGCAGCAGUGAGGAAUAUUGGUCAAUGGACGCAAGUCUGAACCAGCCAUGCCGCGUGCAGGAAGACGGCUCUAUGAGUUGUAAACUGCUUUUGUACGAGAGUAAACGCAGAUACGCGUAUCUGUCUGAAAGUAUCGUACGAAUAAGGAUCGGCUAACUCCGUGCCAGCAGCCGCGGUAAUACGGAGGAUUCAAGCGUUAUCCGGAUUUAUUGGGUUUAAAGGGUGCGUAGGCGGUCGGAUAAGUUAGAGGUGAAAUCCCGGGGCUCAACUUCGGAAUUGCCUCUGAUACUGGUAGGCUAGAGAGUAGUUGCGGUAGGCGGAAUGUAUGGUGUAGCGGUGAAAUGCUUAGAGAUCAGACAGAACACCGAUUGCGAAGGCAGCUUACCAAGCUACUUCUGACGUUGAGGCACGAAAGCGUGGGGAGCAAACAGGAUUAGAUACCCGAGUAGUC
rnacentral:rRNA from 1 species